ACAAGAACUUUUGAACAUGUCUUUUUCGGUGAAACUCUAGUUGUAGCAAAUAUAAAGGAGAAUCAGGCCGGGGUCUACCGUUGUUUAGUUGUUCAUCCUUCUAAUACACAACGUCUGAAAGGAACAGAUAUAUCAGUUAAUGUACAGUAUUCUCCAAAAAUUGAAGCACUUUGGCUAAGUGAUAAAAAUUUAACAUAUGGAUCGAGAAACCCUACAAUCUAUAGUUUCAGUGAAGGCAAUCAUCUAACGAUAACAAUCCGUAUUAUUAGUAACCCAGAUCCGCAAAUAGUAAUUCACUCCUCCUUGUUGAAGUUUCCAACUUUACUUUAUACCAAACUGUCUGAUGGUUUCAUAACAAAACUACCUUCUCUUAAAUGUGAAAAUUCUGGAAACUUUACAAUACACACUAGUAAUGGUAUAGAAUAUGGAGACAACAGAACAGUCAAGUUAGUGAUACGAUGUAAACCUCGGGAUGUUAAAACAGAACGCAAAAUAGGAACAAAGACCAACACCGAUGUACACAUAGUAAUGAAUGUAGUAUCAUUUCCGGCACCAACUGUAACGUGGUUUCGUAUGACUUCAUUCGUAUGGACGGUCCGAAAAGACAAAUACGAUUACAGAUACAACAUUAAUUCUACUAUACACAUUACGUCGGAAGAUGGUUUUGGUGAACGCGGAAUAGAAAUAUGCAAUACAUUAGGAUGUAUUGUAGAAAAUAUCACGUUGAAACCGG